AUUGAACGCUGGCGGCAUGCCUAACACAUGCAAGUCGAGCGAGCGGAGGACGGGCGAGUAAUGUAUGGGGAUCUGCCAGAUAGAGGGGGAUAACUGCUGGAAACGGUGGCUAAUACCGCAUACCCUCUGGUGAACCCAUGUGGGAUUAGCUAGUAGGUGGGGUAAAGGCUCACCUAGGCGACGAUCUCUAGCUGGUCUGAGAGGAUGAUCAGCCACACUGGAACUGAGACACGGUCCAGACUCCUACGGGAGGCAGCAGUGGGGAAUAUGGGACAAUGGGCGAAAGCCUGAUCCAGCCAUGCCGCGUGUGUGAAGAAGGUCUUCGGAUUGUAAAGUACUUUAAGCUGGGAGGCGUUACCAACAGAAUAAGCACCGGCUAACUCCGUGCCAGCAGCCGCGGUAAUAC
rnacentral:rRNA from 1 species